AUCCCUGUGAAGAUUCUCAGACCAUAGGAAGUGCCAUAUGACACUGUAAACAACAGCUGCUUCUCUCCACUGCAAGUGUCCUCCCUUGAGCAUAGCCUUUGUGGUUUUCUUUCCGUGUUAAUUUCGUUUUCUUUCGGCGAAGAUCCCAGCAGAGAGGUGUUGAAUCUCCCUCGUUGAGGCCU
rfam:Triticum aestivum genome assembly, contig: Triticum_aestivum_CS42_TGACv1_scaffold_032844_1BL